rnacentral:rRNA from 1 species
GGGUUGUGAGGUUAAGCGACUAAGCGUACACGGUGGAUGCCCUGGCAGUCAGAGGCGAUGAAGGACGUGCUAAUCUGCGAUAAGCGUCGGUAAGGUGAUAUGAACCGUUAUAACCGGCGAUUUCCGAAUGGGAAAACCCAGUGUGAUUCGUCACACUAUCAUUAACUGAAUCCAUAGGUUAAUGAGGCGAACCGGGGGAACUGAAACAUCUAAGUACCCCGAGGAAAAGAAAUCAACCGAGAUUCCCCCAGUAGCGGCGAGCGAAUGGGGAGCAGCCCAGAGCCUGAAUCAGUGUGUGUGUUAGUGGAAGCGUCUGGAAAGGCGUGCGAUACAGGGUGACAGCCCCGUACACAAAAAUGCACAUACUGUGAGCUCGAUGAGUAGGGCGGGACACGUGGUAUCCUGUCUGAAUAUGGGGGGACCAUCCUCCAAGGCUAAAUACUCCUGACUGACCGAUAGUGAACCAGUACCGUGAGGGAAAGGCGAAAAGAACCCCGGCGAGGGGAGUGAAAAAGAACCUGAAA